rnacentral:lncRNA from 1 species
UUUUAAGUCACAAAAAUGAUUUCUUCCCUUUCUUCAUUUCACGAAGAGGUUCUGUGGUUCAAUUAUUUCUCAGACUGUGACUUUGAUUAUGUAGGAAAUAGUUCCACUACCUGCUUGAAACAGAAACCUAGUAGAAGAGACUCAAAAGGUCAUCAUCACACUGCAAUGUUUGAGAUCAGCACUAGAAACUGUAUCCAAAACUCUUCGGCAAGAAUUCUGAAGAAAAAGAGCUUCCCGGCUGAGAAAAUUUACAGACUUCUUCAGGCUCAACACAUAGGUUAAGGUCUUCUCUUCCAGCUCUUAAAUGGAUGAUACAUACUGUCAAAUAACACUUUAAAAGGACCUUGAUUAUGAGUUGAAGUCUAGAGACCAAAAAGUCUCUGGGUCUAGCAUGAUCUUAAAUGCAGAUUAUGUCUCUUUCCCCAUAACAGUUACCUGCAACUGUACCAUCACAUCAUCAAACUACAUAUUCCAGGGGGAAGUUUUCC